UGAUCGUGAGAAGCAUAAUUUGAGCACAGAAUUAGAGUUUUUGUUGGGAGAAUUGCCUGAAAAAAUUGUUGACUUUCUUAAAGAGCAGAGUUCUAGUGAUGGUCAAAUGGGUGAGGAUGAGAUUGAGAUCGAUAUUGAUGCUCUAAGUCAUGAAACAUUGUACAAAUUGCGUAAACUUUUGGAUGACUAUUUGCUGGCGAAGCAGAAAAACCAGGCAAAAGCUGAAUCCUGUGAAAUGGAGGCAUCCUUAUGCAUCUAUCUCAUCCUUUGGCGCCUUUCUUUUUCUUUUAUCCAAAAUGCAACAUUGGCAUUUAUGAUAUUGCUUUGUCUUUUCUGUUUUGGUAGCUUCUUAAUGAGUUAGGGUUUAGCAAUUCAUCUAUGCAGCCGUGUAAAGGUAAUGAUCAAGUUGAUGAGGUCGUAGAUAUAGUUGGUAGCAGUUACCCUCCAGUAGCAAUAGAGAAGGGGUUAACCCAUAGAAAUAGCAGAUGCAGUAGUUCCAGUGGAUCCAGUGGUGAAUCAAGCUCUUCUUCUAGUGGUUUGUACAAUUAUACUGUAAUGAACUUCUCCUUUAUUUAUUAUGCUUAAGAGAUCUUGUUUUCGAGCAAUUGUUGUGUGUUUGAGCAUGCUAUUUCUGCUUUAUUAUUGAAGAAAACUUAAAAGGAAAUAUAUGUUUUGGAUAUGGGAAAAUAUAUGUAUGGAAAAAAUUCUAUGUGAAAGUUAUCUCUACUAAGAGUUUUGAUUUUUGUUGAGCUCUUAUUCACAGUUUUGUAGAUCAUAGUUUGUCUAAGUCAAGUUGUUUUCUAGCUUGAGAUCAUUCUUUGAUGCUCUUCAUUGUUGUUGAGUGGUUGAUAAAAUGUUUCCAUGUUGUUGUUGUGUUUUUUUUUUGUGCUAUUCCACGCUUUUGUUAGGUUUCUACUCAAUUCUGUGUAUUUUUUAUAUCUAUCCUAACGUGUAGAGGACUUGGAUUAGAACUUAAUCUUUAGGUAUUUGGCUUUUGGCUUUUUCCUUUUUGAGGAUGACUCCCAAAUAUAUCUCUGUGGGAGAUGUUCAUUGAUGGAAUUGAAAUAUCAAUCCUUUUUCAACAGUUAAUUCUGCCCAUUUGCAAACAUAUUCUAUCAUUGUAACAUGCUUACCCAUCUCUGCUGGCUAGUUUAUUUUAUCUCAGCUGAAUUUAGAUAACUUGAUUCCCUUAAAUUAGAAUAGGGUGAAACUAUGGAGAUGAAUCCUGAAACUUGGGGAUACAAGAUGAAAGAAAGAAACGAGAAUAGUUUUUGAGUAACAGGCCAGCUUUGUUUAUGAUAAUUUGUUCACCGUGUGGAACUUUUGACUGAAACUCUUGCUAUCAAUUAUGCAAUUUGUUAUCUUAGGUCUUCAUGCAAAUAAUAAUGGUCACCAUUUUUCUGGUUUUUAGAGUUCUCUCUAGUUAGAACCAUUUUUGUUAAUUUUUUUUUGCUUGAGAUUUGAUGCCCGCUGCCUACUUUCUACUUCAUGUUAGUGAUGCAAGUUAAAUUGGGGACCAUCUAAAACAAGCUAUAAAAUCACGUGUUAUGAGGAUUACGUGGGACAUACUUCAUAGCAAAACUUAGAGAUAUCAUUGAAUCUGAGUUUUGCGAGACUGGUUCCCUUGAUGAAGCAAUCAAACUAGUAAAGCAAUGCGGGGGAAUCGAAAGGGCACAAGAGUUGGCAAAAGAGAAAGUUGAUAUUGCAAUCAAGAGUCUCCAAUGUCUUCCUCAAAGUGAUUUUCGGUUAGGGCUUGAAGAUGAUGUUUAAUCUAGAAAGGAUUGAUUAGUUUAACUAAUCCAAAACAAGCAGCAUGAUACAUGACAGAUAAACAUGGCAUGAAGUUGAAGCCUGUACCAAUAUAGAACAGCUUUCUUAGGAUAUUAAUUGGUUCCUUGUCAUUGGUUGUAUAUUCAUACAAGGCUUUGAGCUUGACUUGAGCUCCUAGUUUCAAUGUUUUCAAAUUAUACAUUUGUCUGAGAAAAAAUAAUUUCUCUGUUAAAUUAAAUUGAUGAACAAUAAAAAUUUUGUGGUCAUCAAUAUUAAGCUAAUAAACUUCCAUUAUGUAUACAAGGAAAACCUAUGUUAUAGGGGUUUCUCUU